UGGAGGUGGUCUCAUUGUGGGUAUGGAUCUGUCGUUGUGGUAUAUGUUUGGUAUCAUUCCCCUGAUCUCCAUAAUCACAGGCAUAAUAAUAUUACUCGGUGAUCCAACUGUUAACAAGUGGUUGCUGAUUCCCGACACGAUUCUCAUGAUUUUGUGGGGCAUGGUUGCUCAUCCGGUUCUGCUGGCAUCUAUUAUUUAUUGGUAUCGUGACAUGCCUUUCCGUUUAAUUGGUGCCAAGGCCAAAUUUAAGCUCGAGGUCAUUCCUAUGAUAAUUGCAGCAGCCUUUCAUCACCUUUUGGAGUUCAAUUAUGGGUAUUUCUGUCUAAUACUAGGUUUCACGACAUAUUUCUAUACCAUUGCGCACUUCAUGCACGCAGCGUAUGAUAUUGGAGGAAAAGACGUAUUGUUGGGAUUAGUAAUGCCGGUUCUUGCUUACUUUCUCAAGGGAGGAUUGCUAGUUAGAGGUUUGGGUUUGAGCUUGUGUGUUGUAUUGUGUUUCUAUAGAUAUGUGACGUAUUCUGCUCCUGAAGUACCUGAGCAUGGUAAAAAGGAGUUGGAGCGGUUGCCUUGCUGACUGAGGACCAACCCAUCCAGAAUACGGACCAACGGUACUUCUAUGGCUCUUCUCAUUACCUUACUUGGUGCUAUCUUUGUUUUCGGCCUUUAUGAUUUCACGCAUGUAUUUACGAUGAGGUUAGUUAACUGUAUCACCCAUUUUGGAGUGAGGUGUGUUUGGUGCAUAGUAUUUUUGUUUAUGGUGAUAUUAAUUGGAAGAAAAGUGUAUAUUUAUGUCGACUGAAAAAUCAUAUUUAUAUUAUGCACAGUGUACUGAAAAAACUUAUGCAGAGUGUACUGAAAUUGACAAGGAAGGAAGAUUGGAGCUGGGAGAUCUCUAACAACUUUUGUACCUACUGGAGCAUACCAGAUGCUGAUAAAAAUGAUGGGACUGGACCUCUGUAAGCCUCUACUACUUUUGCAGUAGUAGUAUGUGUUUUGAAGCCAAACUAUGGAAAUGUUUGAUUUGUCUUUCGAUGGAGUUCGUGUUUGUUUGAAUAAUUGUACUUUAAAUAUUACCCAAAAUAAAUUUUUAUAUACAAAAAUGAAUUAAUUUAUUCAAUCACUUUAUACGUUAUUCUUCACAUUUUAGGAGGUUUUUAUAGUGUUUGCUAUCAUUUACUUACGUUUGUGCUAAUUGUCGUAUAACUGGCGAAUUCUUUGAAUCAUAAAAAUGACGAAAUCAGUAGAUAUUGAAUUUGAAAUAUUUUACCACACGUAUCUUAAAAGUGCGAUCUUAAAACUAUAAACUCUAAUUUGAAGCAAUGAGCAGAUAGGCUUGACAAAGUUUAGAAAGAGUUUUUUAUCGUUCUAUCGUUUGCACAAAAUUCUAUUUAUCUUCAUUUCAAUUAACGUAUUAUAUUCCGUCACGAUCUAUAAAUUAGUAGGGUCAAUGAUACUAAUACUUUAUUAAGUACUUCAUCUUCAUGUACUAUUGGUAGCUAAAUCUUUUAAUGAUUGCUUCUUCUUUUUUCCCUUUUCGAUUGGUGGUUUUUUAUGGUUAAAACUAUUAAAUGUUAUUGACUCAAUAUAUAGGCCUGAACAUAUUAAAAACAAUGGUAUAGUUUUUAAUCACUGAAUUUUGAUUGUGACACAAUUUUGAAAUUGAAAAUUAAAGUAAUUUUUUCAUUUCAUGGGUACUUACAUUACGUUAAUUUUUACCAACCAUAUUUUCUAAUCAACUCAGAUGGAGGAGGAUUAUAUUUAGGAGCAAAAUAGAAACCAUCUUCUUCAAUUAACCAAUAACAUAUUCCUGAGUCAUAUCCUCCUUCAACACCACAAUUUCCGCUAUCUAUGUACACUUUAAAUGCAACAUCUUUUGUACCCCAUCAAAAAUGACAAAAGAACACCGUCUCAUGAAGUAGAUUUGACCUGAACUUGAAAUGAAAAUCAUCGUUGAAUUUAGGAUAAUGCAUUCCAAGAUCGUCAUUUCCAGAUGCACAAUGAAAUUUGAUUGGAGGAUCAUUUUUUUCAACACCAUCAACUAUAUGACAUUUGUUUGUUGAAUAAAUAACAUUUGUUUGUUGAAUAAAUAAUAAAAUUGAUAAAACCAAUAAGGAAGAAACACUAUUUUAUUGCAAUCAUUUAGCAUAUAACAAUGUAGGAAGUAAUUUUUAACUAUUAAUACCAUUUACAAUAGUUUGGACUUUAUAAUAUUGACGACUAAAAAGAAAGAGAAGAAGUAUUACAUACAAGGUUGGAUUUUUUGACUAAUGAUUUUUUAUUUAUUUUUAGUAUUUUGGGUAGUAAUGAUCUAUGGUAGUUAGAUCAUCUUCUAAUUAAUAAUAUUUAUAGGUAACAAGAGUCUUAGAUGCACGCACUUCCUUCUCCUAUAACAAGUGUUUUUCAACAAAAAAAAAAAAUCCAAACUUGGUAAAAUUUUCUACCCUAAUUUUAACAACCUUGAAUUUUGUAUUGUCAAUCUUGUUUGUUUAUUACUACAGCUUACAUACAGUUUGAAGAUAGAUGUAAGUUACCACUACUAAUUUUGUCUUAAAUUAGCACAUUAAUAGAGAUAUACUUAUCUCUUUAAUUUGUUGUUUGACGAUAUAUUCUGCUAGCUGGGCCUCGAUGGGUGAUGAAGUUGUCGAAGUUGUCUCUGCUGGUGGUGAUGAAGUUGUCGAAGUUGUCGCCUCUGCUGGUGAUGAAGUUGCCUCUGUGGUUACAUCUGUCAAGAAUUUUAAGUGGAUCAUGCCCUGGGCUGAACAUCCUCGUAAGUUGAUCAGUUCCUUUGAACUUGUUUUAUUCCCUUUAAUUGCUACCAAGGCCAAUUUUAUGAUAAUUAUUGCAGCAGCCUUUCGAUCUAAUGCUAGGCUUCACCACAUAUUUCAUGCACACAUCCUAUAUAUGAUUUAAUUUGGAGGAAAAACACGGGAGAAUUGUGUUUCUAUAGAUAGAUACGUAAUGUAUGCUGGAGUUGCCUGCCUUGCUGAUGAUGUGAAAGACGACUAAUUUUAUAGUUUCCUGUUUGCUCUCCAUUUGGUUAGGGCUUUUGUAUCAGUUCAUCUUGAAUCUUAUGAUGGAUCAACAACUACAUGAAUUGUACCUUACAUAAUUGAGUUACAAUCCUUUCUUGUUUGAUUAUAUAUGCAGCUAGCCCCCCCAUGGCCAACCACAUUAUGCUUUUAUUUGUUUUAUCAUGUAUGCGCAGAGAAAAUACCAAAAUUUCUUUUUGGACAAUGUUUAGUCUUUGUAGUAGUGAUGCUUGUUCAUUGUCUUGGUGUGCUCAAUGAAGUGUGUUUUUUUGUAACUUCCAUUCUUUUUUUCUCAGGUGGUCUCAUUGUGGGUAAGGAUAUGUGGUCGUGGGUUAUGUUUGGUAACAUUCCCCAGUGCUCCAUAAUGAUGGGCAUACCGAUAUUACUCGGUGAUCCAACUAUUAACAAUUGGUUGCUGAUUCCCGACAUGAUUCUCAUAAUUUUUGUCAUGCUUACUCAUCAUGCUCUGCUGAUAUCUAUUAUUUAUUGGUGUCGUGACAUGCCUUUCCGUUUAAUUGGUGCCAAGGCCAAAUAUAAGCUCGAGGUCAUUCCUAUGAUAAUUGCAGCAGCCUUUCAUCACCUUUUGGAGUUCAAUUUUUUGGAGUUCAAUUAUGGGUAUUUCUGUCUAAUACUAGGCAUCACGACAUAUUUCUAUACCAUUGUGCACUUCAUGCGCGUAGCGUAUGAUAUUGGAGGAAAAGACGUAUUGUUUGGAUUAAUAAUGUUGGUUCUUGCUUACUUUCUCAAGGGAGGAUUGUUAGUUAGAGGUUUGGGUUUGAGCUUGUGUGUUGUAUUGUGUUUCUAUAGAUAUGUGACGUAUUCUGCUCCUGAAUUACCUGAGCAUGGUAAAAAGGAGUUAGAGCGGUUGCCUUGCUGACUGAUGAUGUGAUGGAGGACCAACCCAUCCAGAAUACGGACCAAUGGUACUUCUAUGAGUCUUCUCAUUACCUUACUUGGUGUUACUGUUACUGUAAUAUAUUUGUUGUCGGCCUUUAUGAUUUCACGCAUGUAUUUAUGACUGUUCUACGUUGUUUAUGAUUUACCAUAGGAUCUUGAGAACAAGAGAGCUCAAGUAACAUAUGAGAGGAGAAAGCAGUUAGCAAAACGUUGCUGAGGAGAAGCUUGGUCGUCCUCAACUCAUGGUCAUAUUACUCAUAUAAUUAGCGAUAAAAACCUUUAAAAACUAUAAAUAAAAUUUAAUUGCAGAUGACUAUCAUAAAUUUAUAAAAUAUUAAUUCAUUUUGAUGGCCCAUUAGUUCUCCAAUAACACAAAAUAGAUUUUAUUUCUUAUUAUAAUUAUCAAGUCUCAAUUUUUUUCAAAGCAAAUAUCAUCAUUAAUUGAUCUAUUCCUUGUUUGAUAUUAUGAUUUUAAAAAAAUAUAAAAUUAAAAUGUCAUAGUCAUUGAAUUAAAUAGUAAGACAACAAAUUUCAACAAUAUCCUGAAGCUCCAAAAUCGACAUCAAAUUAAACGCAUAUACAGGCGAAAUAAAUGCGUUAAAAAAAUCUAGACUAAUAAAUAAAAUUCAUAAAAAGACAUAAACUCUAUUUAUCAAUUAUAUUUAAUUCAUAUAACUAAGAAUAAACUUUCAAAAAGCAAUUAAGAAUUAAGAAAAAAAUUAUCAUAGAAUGUUAUAAAUAAACUCAUAGAUACACACAAAAAGGGAGAAAUCUUACUAAUUAAAUUUGCCAGGAGAUGACAUUGCUGGGAAAAACACAUGCAUAUAGAUAUAUUAGAGUGAGAGUUUGUAAAAAUUAAAUUUACUGCCGUAACGGAAACAAAUUUUAAUUGUUUAUUUAACAAAGUGAAGUGAUAGAUCCAUUGGUUGCUAAUGAUUGAUUAUUGCUAGAAAGUUUUUGAAUGAAAGAAAAAUCAUUUGGUAUGAACUGAUAUACUACCAUUAAGAAUAAUGCUAAAUAAUUUAUAUUCCGUAGCUGCUAAUUUGUGGGAUGUGGAUAAUGACUAAGAAUUUAUUUCUUAUUUCUUAUUAUAAUUUUAUUGAUUCUGUUUUUUUUUUUGUUAUAAUUUUAGUGAUUUUUCUUUGUCAUGCUGACAAUUUUAUCUCUUCUAUUUUUAAAAAAUAAAGUAAAUGCGUGACUUUGUAGUUAUUUCAGUAGUUAGAUUUGCAUUUUAUUAGGAACAAACAUAUUUUUUUUUUUUAAUUAUUUAAAAAGAGACCACUUCAAACGUACAUGAAUGCUUAAAACUGUUUUAAUUUUUUAUUUAAUAUAUCUAUAAAUUAAAUUGUUGUAUUUAUUAUUUAAUAUAUUUAGAAAUUAUGCGGUGCUGACAAGUGACACUAUUUCCUCUCCUAUUAUAUAUAGAUAGAUUUUAACAACCUUGAUUUUUGUAUUGUCAAUCUUGUUUUGCAAUUUGUGCUUGAUGAAAUUGUUUGUUUAUUACUACUACUGGUUUGAUAGAUGUAAGUUACAACUACUAAUUAGCGGCUAGGAUCCACAUUAAUUAACAGAGAUAUACUACUACUCAUGGGUGAUGAAGUUGUCUCUCUGUUCCUCCUCCGCACAUGGACGCUUUCCUCUGAAAACUUGAAGACCGUGGUUAGAUCUGUAAAGAAUUUUAGGUGGAUCAUGCCCUGGGUUGAACAUUCUCGUAAGUUGAUCAUUUCCUUUGAACUUGUUUUAUUAAUUCCGUUUAAUUUCUUCCAAGGCCAAUUUCAUUCCUAUCAUAAUUAUUAUUGCAGCAUCCAGCCUUUUCGAGUUCAAUUAUGAGUAUUUCUAUCUAAUGCUAAAUUGUGUAAUGGACAACGAUAUACUUCUUGUCCUUUUGUAGAUGUAUCUCUUUCUUGUUUGAUGAUAUAUGCAGCUAGACCAACCACAUUAUCCUUUUAUUAGUUUUAACAUGUAUGCGCAGAGAAAAUACCAAAAUUUCUAACAGUUUUUAGUCAUUGUCUUGGUGUGCUCAAUGCUGUGUGUUUUUUUGUAACUUCCAUUCUUUUUUUCUCAGAUGGUUCCAUUGUGGGUAAGGAUAUGUGGUCGUGGUAUUUCUUUAGUAGCAUUCCCCUGUGCUCCAUAAUCAUGGGCAUACUGAUAUUAAUGGGUGAUCCAAAUGUUAACAAUUGGUUGGUGAUUCUCGAUGCGAUUCUCAUGUUUUUGGGAGUUCUUACUCAUCUGGCUCUGCUGACAUCUAUUUUUUAUUGGUAUCGUGACAUGCCUUUCCGUUUAAUUGGUGCCAAGGCCAAAUUUAAGCUCGAGGUCAUUCCUAUGAUAAUUGCAGCAGCCUUUCAUCACCUUUUGGAGUUCAAUUAUGGGUAUUUUCUUCUAAUACUAGGCUUCACGACAUAUUUCUAUAUCAUUGCGCACUUCAUGCGCGCAGCGUAUGAUAUUGGAGGAAAAGACGUAUUGUUGGGAUUAGUAAUGCUGGUUCUUGCUUACUUUCUCAAGGGAGGAUUGUUAGUUAGAGGUUUGGGUUUGAGCUUGUGUGUUGUAUUGUGUUUCUAUAGAUAUGUGACGUAUUCUGCUCCUGAAGUACCUGUGCAUGGUAAAAAGGAGUUGGAGCGGUUGCCUUGCUGACUGAUGAUGUGAUGGAGGACCAACCCAUCCAGAAUAAGGACCAACGGUACUUCUAUGGCUCUUCUCAUUAC
rnacentral:lncRNA from 1 species